rnacentral:lncRNA from 1 species
CUAGUUUCACAUGUCUGGUGUAUCUCUACCAAAUUGCAUCUCAUUCCGAGUUCAGCUGAUCGUCGGUUUAAUGUCUCCAUCAUAGGUGGUCAGAUCUUAAACUUGAGAUAAUCUGUGCCUAGAUCAGAUUGAAGAAGCUCAAAUAAACUACAAGCCAACCGUCCAAAUCUCAAUCCCACCGUUGCAACUCAAAACAGAAUUUCAGCUCAAUCAGAAUACGUUUCAUCCACUAAAAGUUACCUUCAAUCAGACAUCUUGAAACUGUUUUCUCAUCACUUCUCUAAUCUGUAAAUCAUAUACAUUG